rnacentral:siRNA from 1 species
GGUCCGCCUUUGGUGUGCA